rnacentral:lncRNA from 1 species
CUGUAGACACGGAAAGGACUGACAAAGAAUUAUUCUAAACAAGAUCAAGAAAGGUUGGAAGGAACUGCCGUAUAGGGAAGAAAACAGACACUACCAGUGCCUUAUCUAGAAGAGACCUGCAUCCUCACCACCACGUACCUGACGAAGACACAAGAGCAGGCAGCUCAGAGGAGAGUGGUCAGUGGAUAUUUUAAGUCAUUGCUUU